GUCUAAUACCGGAUACGAGCUGCGAAGGCAUCUUCAGCAGCUGGAAAGAAUUUCGGUCAGGGAUGAGCUCGCGGCCUAUCAGCUUGUUGGUGAGGUAAUGGCUCACCAAGGCGUCGACGGGUAGCCGGCCUGAGAGGGUGACCGGCCACACUGGGACUGAGACACGGCCCAGACUCCUACGGGAGGCAGCAGUGGGGAAUAUUGCACAAUGGGCGAAAGCCUGAUGCAGCAACGCCGCGUGAGGGACGACGGCCUUCGGGUUGUAAACCUCUUUUAGCAGGGAAGAAGCGAAAGUGACGGUACCUGCAGAAAAAGCACCGGCUAACUACGUGCCAGCAGCCGCGGUAAUACGUAGGGUGCAAGCGUUAUCCGGAAUUAUUGGGCGUAAAGAGCUCGUAGGCGGUUUGUCGCGUCUGCUGUGAAAACCCGAGGCUCAACCUCGGGCCUGCAGUGGGUACGGGCAGACUAGAGUGCGGUAGGGGAGAUUGGAAUUCCUGGUGUAGCGGUGGAAUGCGCAGAUAUCAGGAGGAACACCGAUGGCGAAGGCAGAUCUCUGGGCCGUAACUGACGCUGAGGAGCGAAAGGGUGGGGAGCAAACAGGCUUAGAUACCCUGGUAGUCCACCCCGUAAACGUUGGGAACUAGUUG
rnacentral:rRNA from 1 species